GACGGAGGGUGCAAGCGUUGCUCGGAAUCACUGGGCGUAAAGGGUGCGUAGGCGGUCUCGCAAGUCUGGCGUGAAAGCCCGGGGCUCAGCUUCGGAAGUGCAUCGGAAACUAGCCAGCUGGAGCGCGAUAGAGGAGGGCGGAAUUCCUGGUGUAGCGGUGAAAUGCGUAGAUAUCAGGAGGAACACCGGCGGCGAAGGCGGCCCUCUGGAUCGUUGCUGACGCUGAGACGCGAAAGCGUGGGGAGCAAACAGG
rnacentral:rRNA from 1 species